rnacentral:lncRNA from 1 species
GGGGAUUAUAGGCUUGUGACAUCACACCAACUUCCCUACAAAAUUCGAAAAAAAAUAUCAUGAUUAGUGCUGUGUUGUAGAGAGAGCUAGCCGAUUACAAUAUGAAGGGUGAUUUUUGAGACAAAAAUUAGCUCAGUGAGGAGAGAACAGAAACCUUCAGGAAGGCAGUAAUGGAGACACAAAGCUAGAGCCAAGGCUGGGGAUCAGAAGAGAAGGACAGGUUCUGGUUUCUGACUUGGAUGAGCAAAGAGGAGAGUGAAGUCACUGGGGACAAGCACACUGGAGUAUUGUAUGGGCAGGAAGCGUCUAAAUUAGAGAGGCUGGGGCACAGGAUGGGGUGGGGGGUUAGGGUUCAUAGAUUGGAGAAUAUUAGGUAGUUCUUGCCCAUAGAAUAUUUUAUGAAAACGUUACGGAAACACGGAGCUCAAGAGUAAGCUCUGGAGACCUGUUGAGGUGGGCUUGGUGGGUGGAGCCAUGGCGUAGGCUGGGGUUGCAUGGGACGCAGUGGCUGAGGACCAGGCAUGAUUAGCAAGGGAGCCUCUUGAGGCUUCACUGUUCCUGACCACACAGGGUGGAGGAUUCAGAGCAUAAGACAGAGCAACUGGGGAAGGAGAGUGACGGUGACCCUGUGGAUGGAGGAAUGACAGACAGGCAGGCCUGCACCCAGCAGCUGAGGCACCCGGAGACCCAGGGCUCUGCACAGUUUCUAGCACUUCCUUCUCUAAGCUGCGCCAGCGCCUGCCUGAGCUGAGCCACGAGAGAGGCAUCUGUGAUACCUGAUGACAAUCAUCUCUGAUUAGAGUUCCACCACGCAGCCCAGGCGAGCUGGGCCACAGCUAAUUAGCAUGUGAGGCCAGCGUGCUGUUUACUGGAACUGUACUAACAAGUUGUAGCUUUUUCCAUCACAGGAGAGUCGUUGUCAGCCAGGAACCCUUCACUCCGUCAGUUUAGGGACAAGGCAGAUACUCCUUAUGCACUACCCCCACGACACAUUAAUGCAUUUGUGCUGAGAGUCACUUUCAGUCCAUGUUCCCACCUCUGUAAACUGUCACUUCUAGACAUGGUAGUAAAAAAU